GGUAGCCGAGGGCCUCAUGCAGAUUUUCUCCCGGAUGGGGUUACCCAGGGAGAUCAUCUUGGAUCAGGGUACUCAGUUUACCGUGGAGGUCACCCAGCACCUCUGGAAAUUCUGUGACAUUAAGCCUAUAAUCAGUGCCCCCUACCAUCCCCAGACCAAUAGGCUCUGUGAACGGUUCAAUGGUACAUUGAAACAGAUGCUCCGAACCUUCGCAGAGACCCACCGGGACUGGGAAUGAUUCCUGCCCCACCUCCUCUUCACUUAUCGGGAGGUACCACAGGAAUCGACCGGGUUUUCCCCGUUUGAAUUGUUAUUUGGAAGGAGAGUAAGAGGGCCACAAGAUCUUAUCAGGGAGCACUGGGAGGGAGACCAAAGCGCAGACGGUACACCAAUCAUACCAUAUGUGUUGGCGUUUUGAGACCGCCUAGAAGCAUUGACUAGGACGGUAAGGGAAAACCUUCAGGCGGCGCAGACCCGCCAGCGCACCUGGUAAGAUC